CGCUGAGGUGCGAAAGCAUGGGGAGCAAACAGGAUUAGAUACCCUGGUAGUCCAUGCCGUAAACGAUGUCUACUAGCCGUUGGGGCCUCUGAGGCUUUAGUGGCGCAGCUAACGCGAUAAGUAGACCGCCUGGGGAGUACGGUCGCAAGACUAAAACUCAAAUGAAUUGACGGGGGCCCGCACAAGCGGUGGAGCAUGUGGUUUAAUUCGAUGCAACGCGAAGAACCUUACCUGGCCUUGACAUAGUAAGAACUUUCCAGAGAUGGAUUGGUGCCUUCGGGAACUUACAUACAGGUGCUGCAUGGCUGUCGUCAGCUCGUGUCGUGAGAAGAUGGGUUAAGUCCCGCAACGAGCGCAACCCUUUUCCUUAUUUGCCAUCGAGUAAUGUCGGGAACUUUAAGGAUACUGCCAGUGACAAACUGGAGGAAGGCGGGGACGACGUCAAGUCAUCAUGGCCCUUACGGCCAGGGCUACACACGUGCUACAAUGGUCGGUACAAAGGGUUGCUACCUAGCGAUAGGAUGCUAAUCUCAAAAAGCCGAUCGUAGUCCGGAUUGGAGUCUGCGACUCGACUCCAUGAAGUCGGAAUCGCUAGUAAUCGCGGAUCAGAAUGCCGCGGUGAAUACGUUCCCGGGCUUUAAGCCGCCGCCCGUCACNCCAGGGAGUUUGUGCACCUUAUAUGGCUAGCCUAACUGCAAAGAGGGCGGUUACCACGGGUGGCCGAUGACUGGGGGAAGUCGAACAAG
rnacentral:rRNA from 1 species